UACGGAGGGUGCAAGCGUUAUCCGGAUUCACUGGGUUUAAAGGGUGCGUAGGUGGGCUUGUAAGUCAGUGGUGAAAUCUCCGUGCUUAACAUGGAAACUGCCAUUGAUACUAUGAGUCUUGAAUUUUUCUGGAGGUCAGCGGAAUAUGUCAUGUAGCGGUGAAAUGCUUAGAUAUGACAUAGAACACCGAUUGCGAAGGCAGCUGGCUACAGGGAUAUUGACACUGAGGCACGAAAGCGUGGGGGAUCAAACAGG
rnacentral:rRNA from 1 species